rnacentral:rRNA from 1 species
AGACGAGAGGGAAACAACCCAGAUCAUCAGCUAAGGCCCCUAAAUGUAUGUUAAGUGUGAAACGAUGUGAGAGUGUUCAGACAGCCAGGAGGUUGGCUUAGAAGCAGCCAUUCCUUUAAAGAGUGCGUAACAGCUCACUGGUCGAAUGUUCUCGCGCGGAAGAUGUAACGGGGCUAAACAUACUGCCGAAGCUAUGGGAUCUUAUUAAUCUUGAUAUUUAUAUCCAGGAGAUAAGAUCGGUAGGAGAGCGUUGUAUGGACAGCGAAGCAGCAACGUAAGUUAGUUGUGGAGACCAUACAAGUGAGAAUGUAGGCAUGAGUAGCGAAGGAAGAGUGAGAAUCUCUUCCGCCGAAUGUCCAAGGGUUCCUGGGGAAGGUUCGUCCGCCCAGGGUUAGUCGGGACCUAAGGCGAGGUCGAGAGACGUAGUCGAUGGAUAACAGAUUGAUAUUUCUGUACCACUAAUAACGCGCCCAAAUCGAAUAUAUGUUGCUAAGGAAAGCCCUUCGGGGCCUACCGACCCACAUAUUACUAGAUUAGCGAUGGAGCAACGGAGAAGGAUAGAUGAACCCAGGCGAUGGUUGUCCUGGGGUAAGUGAGUAGGGUUGUUAAUAGGCAAAUCCGUUAACAAUAAACCUGAGACACGAUGCCGAGCCGCUUUUAGGCGAAGUCAUUGAUUCCAUACUUCCAAGAAAAACUUCUAGUUAGUUUUAUUAGUGCCCGUACCCCAAACCGACACAGGUGGACAAGUAGAGAAUACUAAGGCGAGCGAGAGAACUCUGGUUAAGGAACUCGGCAAAAUAGUUCCGUAACUUCGGGAGAAGGAACGCCCAAGUAAAGUGAUUAAUUAACUUUAUAAGCUUGAAAGGGCCGCAGUGAUCAGACUCAAGCGACUGUUUAUCAAAAACACAGGAGGGUGCAAAGUUCGAAUACAACGUAUACCCUCUGACACCUGCCCGGUGCUGGAAGGUUAAGUGGAGAGGUUAGCUUCGGCGAAGCUUUGAAAUUAAGCCCCAGUAAACGGCGGCCGUAACUAUAACGGUCCUAAGGUAGCGAAAUUCCUUGUCGGGUAAGUUCCGACCUGCACGAAUGGUGUAACGAUUUGAGUACUGUCUCAACCAGAGACUCGGCGAAAUUGCAAUGUGAGUAAAGAUGCUCACUAUGCGCGACAGGACGGAAAGACCCCGGAACCUUUACUGCAACUUGAUAUUGA